rnacentral:rRNA from 1 species
GACGGAGGGGGCAAGCGUUGUUCGGAAUUAUUGGGCGUAAAGCGCUCGCAGGCGGUUCGUUGCGUCGUGCGUGAAAGCCCCCGGCUCAACCGGGGAGAGUCGUCGGGGACCGCACCGCUUGAGGGCGGUAGGGGCUGGUGGAAUGCCUGGUGUAGUGGUGAAAUGCGUAGAGAUCAGGCAGAACACCUGGGGCGAAGGCGGCCAGCUGGGCCGUCCCUGACGCUGAGGCGCGAAGGCGUGGGGAGCGAACGGG